CACUGUAUAGAGUACUCCCCUGC
rnacentral:siRNA from 1 species